rnacentral:lncRNA from 1 species
GCAUGGAAGGUGACACACCCCGUCCCGAAGGAGGGCAUGCUGGCCGUCACGUGAGAGUGACGUAACCAUUUGCACAGUACGGAAGCUUUAAGAUACAAUUUAAAUUGAUACACCCGAAGGUGAGUCCUAAUUUUUGUCCAAUCUGUCAGAACACCGUCGAAUUCCUCGUAGUCACCACACCUUUGUGAUUCCUGAACCUGGAGGGGCGCAAAACCAAAAUUGAGUGGGUCAGUAAAAACAAUUCUUUUCCAAAUCCAAACAUUUCUCAAAACGUUGUAACCCCCUCUCCGUAAAACCUGUAUACUUUCCCAGAAAUGUAAAAUAUAAAUAUACAUAUAUAUUCUCAAAACUUCAUUUUUACUAUUCUCAACAUUAUCUCUUUAUCAAUCAUGCCAUGCCAUGUCAUCUCAACAUUUCUCAUAUUAAUUAUGCCAUGCCACAUCAUCUCAACAGUAAUAAGGUAUGAAUGCAUCAACAUAAUCAUAUCAGGUGCAAGAAAGUAAUCAACCGUAGGCCCUCUAAUAGCCCUAUACGGUUGAACCUAGAGCUCAAAAAUCUAUCAUUAUCACUCUACCGGAGUCACCUCUGUGACCCGUCCGGCCUUCUGCACACAAGUUACGCUCUAGUGCUUCUCAUAAAUCAUCUGUGCACAUAAUCUAAGGUCACCCACCAGUCGGAAUCUCACUAACACUCUCGCGACUGGUCUGUCGUACCCACUCCGCGUGGACUGUACGACUAGCAUCUACUUGGAUCCAAGGCGAGCGUGCGAUGCGGGUGAAUACUAUAAGCACUAAACCAUGGUGCAGGAUUUGAGCUCAAUAUAUAUCAUCAUCAUCAUAACAGUAAUUAAAUACUCAUCUGUGCGUCCACCGCACCAUUUCAUACAUAUGCAUCAUAAAUCAAUUCUUACCUGUGCGUCCACCGCACCAAUUCAUACAUAUGCAUCAUAAAUCAAUUCUUACCUGUGCGUCCACCGCACCAAUUCAUACAUAUGCAUCAUAUAUUAAUUCAUGCAUGGCAUUUCAACUCACAUUUCUAUAUACUUUUCAUAUCAAUUCUAUGCAUGGUAUUUCACUUCCCGUUUUUCCACAUAACUCAUAUGCAUUUCAUUUUAAACAUAUUUUCAUGCAUUUUCAAUUUCUGGGAAAACGUUAAGUAUAUAUAUAUAUACGGAAAACAAAACUGCCCACUCACCUGGAGUUCAUCCAACAACUCCCUAGCACCACACAUCAAGGCGUCACGACGAUCGCCGCCUAGAAUAGUAAUCAAAUCCAACCUCAGAAUUCAUAUCGAUAGAAUAUUUAACUUAUAUAAAAUACGUCACUACGUAGUUCGAUCCGGAAGAUCUGCCACUCAGAUUUUAAAUCCAUAACUUCCAGAGGUCCACAAUAUAUCUCUAGGACAACAUCCUAAAAUUUCAUUACCAUCCAACGGUCGGAUCUCCGUCAAUUUCCAAAACUAAGUGACGGUUAACAUUUUAUAUUAUGGACUUACAAUUCCAAUUCCGGAAGAUCCGUAACUCGGAUUCCCAAUCCAUAAGUUCCAAUAAUCCUCAAAUAUUACGUACUAUAACGUAUCAAAGUUUGGUGAUGAUCCAACGGUCGGAUCAUCAAUUCACAUUUUCACCUAAAUGUGAAAACUAUAAAACGUUAUUUGAACACCUAACCAACAAUCUUCAAUAACUUUCUCAUACGGUGUUCAAUUUAGGUAUAUGAAUAUACCACAGUGAUCUACUCGACGUCACGGACGUCGACAUAUUUUUAAAAUAAUUUUAUUUUUAUUUUUUAUUUUUACUGUAGCACCUUCUUCUUCCUUGGGUCGCCGGACUGGUUUUUCCGGCGGCCGUUUUCUGAACAGUUUUUCAAAUUGCCAUAACUUUGUCAUUUCUCAACGAAAUCAAGUGAUUCAAAAACGAAAGUUGUAGCCCUUGAAGAGACAAAGAGAAUGGUACCUUGCACAAACACCUAGUUCGC